rnacentral:rRNA from 1 species
UACGUAGGGAGCAAGCGUUGUCCGGAAUCAUUGGGCGUAAAGCGCGCGUAGGUGGCCUCAUAAGUCCGUUGUGAAAGUCAAAGGCUCAACCUUUGAAAGCCGAUGGAUACUGUGAGACUAGAGUACGGAAGAGGCGAGUGGAAUUCCUGGUGUAGCGGUGGAAUGCGCAGAUAUCAGGAGGAACACCAAUAGCGAAGGCAGCUCGCUGGGACGUUACUGACGCUGAGACGCGAAAGCGUGGGGAGCGAACAGG